AACGAACGCUGGCGGCAUGCCUAACACAUGCAAGUCGAACGAGACCUUCGGGUCUAGUGGCGCACGGGUGCGUAACGCGUGGGAACCUGCCUUUAGGUUCGGAAUAACUCAGAGAAAUUUGAGCUAAUACCGGAUGAUGUCUUCGGACCAAAAGAUUUAUCGCCUUUAGAUGGGCCCGCGUAAGAUUAGCUAGUUGGUGGGGUAAAGGCCUACCAAGGCGACGAUCUUUAGCUGGUCUGAGAGGAUGAUCAGCCACACUGGGACUGAGACACGGCCCAGACUCCUACGGGAGGCAGCAGUGGGGAAUAUUGGACAAUGGGCGAAAGCCUGAUCCAGCAAUGCCGCGUGAGUGAUGAAGGCCUUAGGGGUCGUAAAAGGCUCUUUUACCCGAGAUGAU
rnacentral:rRNA from 1 species